CCAAUCUUUAGAGGUCGCGCGCAUGAUGAGUCGGCGGGUUUGGUGGUUGUUGCCACGAGCAAAUCCGUUAAAAGGCCUGCGCGCCGAAAGCGAAACUGCAACAACAGUUGAACUUGGGCCAAGUCGGAAAUACCACUUGGACUGUCGCGAAUGCGUUGUGCUAAUGAACUU
rnacentral:ncRNA from 2 species